GCCACCCCUGGUCCCUGGCCAGCCAGCUCUGGAGAGGCUGCAGCAGGCCUUAUGGGAUUCCUUGAGAAAUGCUGGGUGUAGUAUCCAUUCUUGGCACCACGGGUGUAGGUGGCUUCUGAGUUUUCUCAGGAAAGCAGGUUUUACACCUCCCUGCCUCACGCUCACUCGUGUCCCUCUUCAUUCAGCUUCUGAAUUCUUUGUGUCACUUAAACCAUACCUGACAGUAAGGCAAAGACCUCAAAGAUGAAAAAUCACAUGAAAAUGUAUGGUUCAGUAGAGGACAGAGACCUCCAAAUAGUGUCCCUCCUAGUGGAAAUCAACAUUGUGGACCCCAUACCUUGCCUUCUCUGGUGCCCAGCCAGCAUGUUCUCUAGAACUCAGUUACGCUACAGCUUCUAGACAGAGCCUCGUGAGGUAGCUGUUACAGCUCUGUACAACCUGCUUUGGAAGAAAAAGCACAGGAUUCCUGUGAGGCUGCAGGAAUUCAAGGCUGAGAGAAGAGGAAUCAGAGAGGAAGCCUCACAGUUAUGGAUCGGUCUGGUUCUCACUGGAUCUCAAAGGAAAAAGGUUUGCUGUUUCUGCUGAGAGUUGAGCCAUGUCCUUCUACUAGAUUUUUUUCCAAGUGCAAGCACUGGGCUCCAUGGUUUUCCUGAUGUCUUGUGUGAUGAGAAAUUGCUUGCAAAACAUUUGCCCUUGUAUGUCUACAGCCCAAGCUGGAAAGUUACACUGCAGUAUAUGGAAUGUGUGGGCUGGGGGCUGCCAACAGCUCUCUCUGCUUCCAUUGACCAAGGAGAUGUAUCUGG
rnacentral:lncRNA from 7 species